rnacentral:rRNA from 1 species
AGUCGAGCGGUAAGGCCUUUCGGGGUACACGAGCGGCGAACGGGUGAGUAACACGUGGGUGAUCUGCCCUGCACUCUGGGAUAAGCUUGGGAAACUGGGUCUAAUACCGGAUAUGACCGCAUGCCGCAUGGGGUGUGGUGGAAAGAUUUAUCGGUGCAGGAUGGGCCCGCGGCCUAUCAGCUUGUUGGUGGGGUAAUGGCCUACCAAGGCGACGACGGGUAGCCGACCUGAGAGGGUGACCGGCCACACUGGGACUGAGACACGGCCCAGACUCCUACGGGAGGCAGCAGUGGGGAAUAUUGCACAAUGGGCGGAAGCCUGAUGCAGCGACGCCGCGUGAGGGAUGAAGGCCUUCGGGUUGUAAACCUCUUUCAGCAGGGACGAAGCGUGAGUGACGGUACCUGCAGAAGAAGCACCGGCU